rnacentral:lncRNA from 1 species
AAGUGAUAAGGAGGACUCUCCUGCUCCCUGACCACCUUCACAUCACCAGCACUCUCUUCAGUGUGAACCUCUACACCAAGGUCCCUGAGCAGACAUCAGAAUGAGAGAAAGAGAGAUGGAGCUCCUUACAGCUAGAAAGUUAUUUCUCAUCCUGAUAACUCUCAUUGCAUCAUAUGGGUCCCAUUAGUACAGAUAUCUCCAAAUGGGCCACUCUUCUGUUACAUAGAAUAAAUUGUUCAUUACCUUGAGACUCUAAUUAUAGAUUACAGUCCUCCUUGCCAUCUACUGUAAAAGAGUCAAUCAACAGUGGGCUCCAGGGUCUCACUGAACUUGUGGUCAGCCUUAUUCAUAGGAUCACAGAGUUUACCUAUAGAACAGAGAACUGCUUGAUGUUUGGUGACUGUCCUAAAUAAAUAAGUGGAGUGCACUAUCUGAGCUUUACCAUUUUUGUCUCUUUCAUUCUUUUAUCCAUCCUGGCUAGCCUGGGAAUCCCUCUGUUCACUAAACCCAUUCCUGUUGUA